GGGGUCGUUACGGAUUCGACAGGCGUUGUUUGAGCUUUAAUUGCGCUUUGAAGGUUACGUCUUCAUUAAAACGUUACAGUUAAAUAUAACUGCUGAAAAAAAAGAACCUUUCGCUUUAGCUGCCUAAAAAACAGCUGAGUGAGAUCUGCUUUUCAUCGCCCAUGUGAAAAUGUUAGGUCUUAAUUAAGUGGGCUACGCUAAUCACUCCCGUCUGCAGUGUUUAGAAGAGAUUAUCAGACUAGCAAAGUGGAUAUGGUGUUGUGUGGCAUUCUACGGCGCGAAAUCAAAAUUGCACAACUAUAAGCGUAGAGGUUAAAGUGGCAAAAUGUUUGGACAGGGGUUCAACUCCCCUCGGCUCCAUUU
rnacentral:tmRNA from 1 species